rnacentral:rRNA from 1 species
UACGUAGGGUGCGAACAUUAUCCGGAUUUAUUGGGCGUAAAGCGCUCGUAGGUGGUUUGGAAAGUCAGAUAUGAAAGGCCCGGGCUCAACCCGGUAAACGUAUCUGAAACUUCCUGACUCGAGGUAUGCAGGGGCAGAUGGAACUUGUGGUGUAGCAGUGAAAUGCGUAGAUAUCACAAGGAACGCCAAUGGUGAAGACAGUCUGCUGGGCAUUACCUGACACUGAGGAGCGAAAGCGUGGGGAGCGAACGGG